GACGGAGGGUGCAAGCGUUGCUCGGAAUUAUUGGGCGUAAAGGGUAGGUAGGUGGUCUCAUUUGUCUGAGGUGAAAUCCUUGGGCUUAACCCAAGAAGUGCCUCAGAAACGGUGAGACUAGAGUCCUGGAGAGGGUCGUGGAAUUCCCGGUGUAGCGGUGAAAUGCGUAGAGAUCGGGAGGAACACCAGAGGCGAAGGCGGCGACCUGGACAGGUACUGACACUCAACUACGAAAGCGUGGGGAGCAAACAGG
rnacentral:rRNA from 1 species